GCCUGGCUGGCUCAGUCAGUGGGAGCGCGCGACUCUUGAUCUCGGGGUUGUGAGUUCAAGCCCCACGUUGGGUG
rnacentral:tRNA from 1 species